rnacentral:lncRNA from 1 species
CAAACAGGCUCAUUGGUUUCGCACUAGAUAGCACAGCCACAAAGUCAAUAUUGGCUAUAGUAGAAAUUAAUGGAAAUAAAUAGCUUUUUGGUCUCAAUUUAAAGUUAGGGUUGGGCAUAAUGUUAGCAGUGUGUUUAACAGUUUAAGGUUAUGUUUAAAAUAAUAUUUUAAGAAGAUAAAUUGUGGGCGGGGUUUAUGACUUUGUGGCUGUGAUAACUAGUGACAACGGAUCAAAACACAGUACGUUCAUCAACCAGCGAAAUUAGUCUUCUCCCUAGUAGGCAUAGACAGUGACAAUCAGGCGGUGGCACAUCUGCUGCACGACAGUCUUGUCCCGAUGCCGUUGACCGCUGAUCUGACGAUAUUCACUUGCUAGCACUGCAUUUAGGAGGUAACUCGAUUCAAUCUGUUCAUUAAAUAGCGACAUUUUAUUAUGUGGAUGACACAAACGACAAUUAUUUGAUGGCACUAGCUAGCUACCUGCAGAGGGAUGCUGUCAAACCAACGAUGUCAACCGGUGUUAGCUAACGUUAGCUUGACUGCUAGCAUGUCCUGCACUCAGCUACAGUGAUUGGAUAAUGGUAGCCAUUUAACUUAACCUAUGCAAACAUGCGCAAUCCGUUAUAAUGGGAUGAAACAAAUUAGCUACCUAUAUGUUAUAGUCUUGUGACUAUUUUCACGGAGGAAACGUAAUUAUGCAGUCUAGCUGAACGGCACGGUUGUAGGCAUUGAGAGUUAGUCCGGGAGUGAUUACAAUAACGUUACAUUGUAGCAAGCGUAGUGACUGGCUAGCUAAGCAAAAUGAUGUUUAUCACUUGCUGUCGCAUUAUUUUCGGCCUGAGCGUUAUUGCGGAGCCCUGCCAUGUGGUAUUGAUUCGUAUAAUGAGUGAUCAUUAUGUAAAAGGUUCAACUCGAACAAAUGAAAUCAUCAGGUGUUGGCGCGGAGAAGGAGGAGGAGGCAGAUAUUAUUGAUGAUGAGGUGCGGGUGGCAUCCCCGCUCGCAUCUGUCUCCCCAAUCCCAGCUAGUUGUUCCACCGCAGCCCGAAGGGAUGCAUCCAAGACCUCUGUCACUGGCAGGAAUCGGAGUAAAAGUAGGAGAAAACUGGGCAAAGAUGACACCUGCACUAAACAGGAGUCAGACCCCGCACCGCAAGGGACAAUAGUAGCUGCCAAUGCGGGGAAACGCUUGAAUCAAAUAGACAAUGAGCGGCAGAUGCUUCAAAUCAAAGGGAUUGGGAAAAUUCUGCUGAAACAAAACUGAAACGAAUGUAACAUUGUUGCGCCCAACCAAUGGCCGAAAGACAUCCAAGUAGGCCCGUGGACAAUCCAAAGCCAAAACCUCUCUGGAGGCACUGAAGCUCAGCACCAGGUAGCUCAAAUGGAAAGAGGCGAGCUCCAUCUGUUCAGCCCUACAGGCGUUGAAUGUGGCGCAAUUAAUACCUGCUAUUGGCCGUUAUCAACAAUGUAGUUCAUUAUACACGAGGAGCAGUGGAGGGUGAAGCCAUCGGACAGCUAGAGAUACAUCUUCUACAAAGUCAAGGACCUAACUGAUCCUCUGUCAGUUUCAAAAGAGCUUUGAGGCGUGCGGUGCUGAGGUGUAGUGUAAGUUGGAAAGCCCAUUGACCUAAGUAUAUUAAGGCACACCCACCUUUCAGUGGCAUGAGAUAGGCCUAACAAUCAUCUUAACUUGUUGUGGGGGGCUCUUUGACCCUAGUAGGCUUUAGCCUAGUGCAUGAGAAGAGCAUCUUGAGCAAUUGAUUGAUAUCUAAUCUAUCUAAUGCGCUCUGCAUGAGUUUUUGAAGAUGUUGACCCAUAUAUAAAACUCAAUUAUGACAGUAAUUGCAUUUCAUUCCUAUGGCAGGAGCAGGUUAGUUAGUUGAUUCCAGAGCCAUUUACAGUAUGGCUCUGGUUCUCAACUCAUGUUCACUGAUAACCAGUAGGGGACAUGCAGUAUACGUUUUGCCAGUAACCUAACAUGUCAUUGGAUCUGCUUGCUGUGUAAUGCCUCAAUAAAUACUGUGUAUUUCUCUGUAUGACUGUGUAUUAGUGUGCCUAUAGAAAAUAUGUACCUUGAUUUUAGAUUUGUUUUUUUUUCACUGGCCUCCACACAAUACAUCAUAAUGUCAAAGUUGAAGUAUGUUUUUCUAAAUGUUUACAAAUUAAUAUUAAAUGAAAAUCUGAA